rnacentral:rRNA from 1 species
AAUGUUAGACAAUGGGCGCAAGCCGGAUCUGCCAUGCCGGUGAGUGAUGAAGGCCUUAGGGUCGUAAAGUUCGUUGGUCAGGGAUGUUAAUGACAGUACUUGGUAAAGAAACACCGGCUAACUGUUGCCAGCAGCCGCGGUAAUACGGAGGGGGAAGCGUUGUUCUGAAUUACUGGGUGUAAAGCGUACGUAGGCGGAUUAGAAAGUAUGGGGUGAAAUCCCAGGGCUCAACCUGGAUCUGCGUCAUAAAUUAUUAGUGUAGAGUGCGAUAGAGGUAAGUGGAAAUCUGAGGUAGAGGGGAAAUUCGUAGAUUUCGAAAGAACACCAGUGGCGAAGGUGGCUCACUGGCUCGAUACUGACGUUGAGGUAGGAAAGUGGGGGGAGCAAACAGGAUAGAUACCGUGGUAGUCCACACCGAA